AUGAAUAACACUAACAGAAAAUCAAAAGGAGAAAAGGAUAUAAAACCCAUCCAACAAUAUGUGUUCAAAGUUAAAACAAAUCCAAGCAUACUAAUCAUAAAGAUCCACUUAUUUCAGAACCAAACACAUCAAUACAGCCGCCCAUACAAAUCCCAGAACAUAUGCAAAUUCAAACAAAGAAAAUGCCAUUUUACUGUCAAUUCCUAA